AAUGAACGCUGGCGGCAGGCCUAAAACAUGCAAGUCGAACGCCCUAGCAAUAGGGAGUGGCGCACGGGUGAGUAACAUGUGGGAAUAUGCCUUUUGGUACGGAACAACGUUUGGAAACGAACGCUAAUACCGUAUGGUCCCCCCGGGGUAAAGAUUUAUCGCCAAAAGAUUAGCCCGCACUAGAUUAGCUAGUUGGUAAGGUAAUGGCUUACCAAGGCGACGAUCUAUAGCUGUUCUGAGAGGAAGAUCAGCCACACUGGGACUGAGACACGGCCCAGACUCCUACGGGAGGCAGCAGUUAGGAAUAUUGGACAAUGGGCGCAAGCCUGAUCCAGCCAUGCCGCGUGAGUGAUGAAGGCCUUCGGGUUGUAAAGCUCUUUAGCCGACGAAUAUAAUGACUGUAGUCGGAGAAUAAGCCCCGGCUAACUUCGUGCCAGCCGCCGCAGUAAUAC
rnacentral:rRNA from 1 species